AACGGCCAUACCAUGUUGAAUAAACCGGUUCUCGUUAGAUCACCGAAGUCAAGCAUCAUUGGGCGCGGUCAGUACUUGGGUGGGUGACCACCUGGGAACAUCGCGUGCCGUU
rnacentral:rRNA from 1 species